GUAUAGGCGAUAGAAAUUUUACCCUGGCGCCAUAAACACAGUACCAUAAGGGAAAGAUGAAAAAAGGCCAACCAAGCACAAAACAGCAAGGACACACCCCUAUACCUUCUGCAUAAUGAAUUAACUAGAGACAACUUCACAAAGAGAACUGGAGCCACAUUCCCCGAAACCAGAUGAGCUACCCAAAAACAGCUAAAAGAGCACACCCAUCUAUGUAGCAAAAUAGUGGGAAGAUUUAUGUGUAGAGGUGACAAGCCUACCGAGUCUGGUGAUAGCUGGUUAUCCAAGAUAGAAUCUUAGUUCAACCUUAAGUUUACCUACAGAAUCACCUAAUCCCGUUGUAAACUUAAUUGUUAGUCUAAAGAGGGACAGCUCUUUAGACACUAGGAAAAAACCUUGUGUAGAGAGUAAAAUAUCCAAUCUCCAUAGUUGGCCCAAAAGCAGCCAUCGAUUAAGAAAGCGUUCAAGCUCAACAUCAAACACCUAAAAAAUCCCAAACAUUCUACUGAACUCCUCAUAUCACAUUGGAUUAAUCUAUUAUUUUAUAGAAGCAAUAAUGCUAGUAUAAGUAAUAUGAACAGCUUUCUCCACUGCAUUAGCCUACAUCAGACUGAAAAACUUCACCGAUAUAUAACAGUCUAAUAUUAACAAACACAAACAAAACCAGUGUUACCCAUACUGUUAACCCAACACAGGCAUACUUCUAAGGAAAGGUUAAAAAAAGUAAAAGGAACUCAACAAACUUAACCCCGCCUGUUUACCAAAAACAUCACCACUAGCAUUACCAGUAUUAGAGGCACCGCCUGCCCAUUGACACAUGUUUAACGACCAUGGUACCCUGACUGUGCAAAGGUAGCCUAAUCACUUGUUCCUUAAAUAGGGACUUGCAUGAAUGGCAUCAUGAGGGUUCAACUGUCUCUUACUUUUAACCAGUGAAAUUGACCUGCCCGUGAAGAGGCGGACAUAAAAUAAUAAGACGAGAAGACCCUAUGGAGCUUUAAUUUACUAAUGCAAUCAAAACCAUACAAAUCUGCGGAUUUUAAAUUACUGCACCUGCAUUAGAAAUUUUGGUUGUGGUGACCUCAGAGCAUAACUCAACCUCCGAACAACCUAUGCUAAGGCUGCACCAGCCAAAGUGAAUCAGUAUGCACAAUUGACCCAAUAACUUGACCAACAGAACAAGUUAUCCUAGGGAUAACAGCGCAAUCCUAUUCUAGCAUCCAUAUAGACAAUAGGGUUUACGACCUCGAUGUUGGAUCAGGACAUCCUAAUGGUGUAGCAGCUAUCAAGGGUUCGUUUGUUCAACGAUUAAAGUCCUACGUGAUCUGAGUUCAGACCGGAGCAAUCCAGGUCGGUUUCUAUCUAUUCUAUAUUUCUCCCUGUACAA
rnacentral:rRNA from 1 species